rnacentral:rRNA from 1 species
AUUGAACGCUGGCGGCAGGCCUAACACAUGCAAGUCGAACGGUAACAGGAAGAAGCUUGCUUCUUGCUGACGAGUGGCGGACGGGUGAGUAAUGUCUGGGAAACUGCCUGAUGGAGGGGGAUAACUACUGGAAACGGUAGCUAAUACCGCAUAAUGUCGCAAGACCAAAGAGGGGGACCUUCGGGCCUCUUGCCAUCGGAUGUGCCCAGAUGGGAUUAGCUAGUAGGUGGGGUAACGGCUCACCUAGGCGACGAUCCCUAGCUGGUCUGAGAGGAUGACCAGCCACACUGGAACUGAGACACGGUCCAGACUCCUACGGGAGGCAGCAGUGGGGAAUAUUGCACAAUGGGCGCAAGCCUGAUGCAGCUAUGCCGCGUGUAUGAAGAAGGCCUUCGGGUUGUAAAGUACUUUCAGCGGGGAGGAAGGGAGUAAAGUUAAUACCUUUGCUCAUUGACGUUACCCGCAGAAGAAGCACCGGCUAACUCCGUG